UUUAUUGGAGAGUUUGAUCCUGGCUCAGGAUGAACGCUGGCGGCGUGCCUAAUACAUGCAAGUCGAGCGAAUGGAUUGAGAUCUUGCUCUCAAGAAGUUAGCGGCGGACGGGUGAGUAACACGUGGGUAACCUGCCCAUAAGACUGGGAUAACUCCGGGAAACCGGGGCUAAUACCGGAUAACAUUUUGAACUGCAUGGUUCGAAAUUGAAAGGCGGCUUCGGCUGUCACUU
rnacentral:rRNA from 1 species